rnacentral:tRNA from 1 species
AAUUAUUUAACUAUACCAAGUUUAUGUUUUGAAAACAUAAAAAAGAAUUUUAUUCUAAUAAUUU